CAUGCAAGUCGAACGGCAGCACGGGGGCAACCCUGGUGGCGAGUGGCGAACGGGUGAGUAAUACAUCGGAACGUGUCCUGGAGUGGGAGAUAGCCCGGCGAAAGCCGGAUUAAUACCGCAUACGCUCUGUGGAGGAAAGCGGGGGAUCUUUCGGGACCUCGCGCUCAAGGGGCGGCCGAUGGCAGAUUAGGUAGUUGGUGGGGUAAAGGCCUACCAAGCCGACGAUCUGUAGCUGGUCUGAGAGGACGACCAGCCACACUGGGACUGAGACACGGCCCAGACUCCUACGGGAGGCAGCAGUGGGGAAUUUUGGACAAUGGGGGCAACCCUGAUCCAGCAAUGCCGCGUGUGUGAAGAAGGCCUUCGGGUUGUAAAGCACUUUUGUCCGGGAAGAAAUCCUCUUCGCUAAUAUCGAGGGGGGAUGACGGUACUGGAAGAAUAAGCACCGGCUAACUACGUGCCAGCAGCCGCGGUAAUACGUAGGGUGCGAGCGUUAAUCGGAAUUACUGGGCGUAAAGCGUGCGCAGGCGGUGAUGUAAGACCGAUGUGAAAUC
rnacentral:rRNA from 1 species